AAUGAUCGGAACAUUUCUAGAAUCAACCAUAUCGGGUUACGGCAAAUUGGCCGGGUGCGACCAAAAGCCCCGUCUAACGCCGGUAUCGGAUAGAAUUCUACCGUGUCCCGAACAUGGACACUAUUUAAAGUGAUCCAAGUCUUCAUUUUGAAGCUUUUGCUCCAUUUUACAAUUAUCACUCCAACCUCUCUCCUCAAACUAGAUUUAAGGGUCAAAAUCUCAAGUUUAAGGCUUCAAAUCACCAAGGUACCUUCCCUAAUUCGUUAUGCAACCUCUCUAGCCUUCAAAUUCGAGUUUAAACCAUGGAUUAGGACCAUUACCAUGAGUUUACAGCCCUAGAACAGUCCUAGGCCGUAAACUCAUAUAAAGGGGGGUUUUUGGAGCAACAAAACCCUUCCAAACCUCAAUUGGACCUUGAAUAUGGCUAGAUGACUUUAUGAGAUGGAAUUAGAAUGCCUCAAACCAUGAUUUAGAGCCUUAUAUAUGAGUUUAUGGCCCAGGAUGGUGCCAAGGCCGUAAACCCAUAUUUAAAGGGGUUUUAAGCCAUUUAACCCUUCUAAGACACAAACAAGACUUAGAUAUGAUUUUUAGAAUAUUGGAAAUGGACCUAGAACACUUCAAACAUGAAUUUUGAGAGGUUUGUAUGAUUUUACGGCCAAGGCAUGUGCUUGGGCUGUAAACUCCUCAAACAUGGGUAUAAAUUCACUUCUAAGGUGUUAGAAAGCCAUCCAACACCACCAAAAGUCUUUGAAUAAAUCAUAAGAUCAACCAAAAAUAGUUUAAGGGCUUUAAGCAUAACAAAACCUCACAUAUGAGAGUUUAUGUCCAUAGAACAUGCUCCAUGGUCGUAAACUCCUAAAAGGAUGUCAAAUGGUGCCCAAAAUUCAUUUCUAGGCUUGUAGGAAUUUUUAGAAUCACAUGUGAUUAAUUUUGGGACCUUAAAAACACUUAUUCAAGAAGAUAUUAGAUUUUACGGCCAUAGACCCCAUGCCAAGGCCGUAAACUCCCUUAAGUGUUGUAUUUGGUGAUUAUAAUUCAUUCCAAGCCUUAGGUAAAAUUAUUCCAAGCAUUUCUAUGUGAUAAUAGCCAUUUGUGACACAUUAAGCUCCAUAAAUCCUACCAACAUGAGUUCACGGCCAUGAACUCAUGUGUGGGUAGUUUUUAGGCCGUAAACUCAUCUAGGAAGUUUACUCUUGGGGAGUAAACUCAAAUCCCAAGUCCCUCGCUUCAAUUCCCGUCCGUAGAUGUCACUCGGGUCACUCCAAACACCUGUUUUGAGGUGUUUUCGUUCGUUGGAGUGUGAUUUCAUAUCUAAUUAGAGUUUAUGAAUCUAAUUAGAUAUAUUUGUAUGCCAUUUCAUAUUACAUAGGAACCUCGCGUGUUAUCAGGCCUUGAUUCGACGUUUAGCAUCCGAAAUCGACACAUUUCCGCGUCCGGUGAGUUCAUACCCCUACUCUUUUUCAAUGGUUUUUCAAUGUUUUCAGGGGGGAAUACAAGCAAAAGUACAAGAAUAUCNUUUUUUUCAUUUUUUUGGGGGGGGGGGGGGGAAUACAAGCAAAAGUACAAGAAUAUCUUGUACUUAAACUCAUGAUUUCAGUUAAAUGGUUUCAUAAUUGUAGAUUUUAAGAAUUGAAAACCUUUUAACAAGCUGUUUUAACUUGUAAAGUUGUUUGUUUUAAACCGAGUUUCAAUUCUUAUUAUACACUGUUAUAUUGUAUACUUUACAUAUGAUGGUUCACAUUAUAUUGAUAGAACACAUAAAAUAUCAUAAUGUCUGUAAUAAAACAUUUAGAUUCUAGAGUAAAAGACAGACACCAUCAGAAAAUAUAAAAUAUCUGUAUGUCCUUAAUAAUACACCUAGGAUCGAGUGUAAAGGAUAGUCAUCAUUAGAUAACACCUAGGCUCGAUUGUAAUGUCCUUAACGAAACACCUAGGCUCGAGUGUAAAGGAUAGGUUCGUAGAACAUAGUUAGUCGUAAAUACUACUUUCCUAGUCGAAAAGUAAAGAGUAAUCUUAAAGAUUGGAGACACAUCCUUGUAACACUUCCUUGGCACGAGAUAGUGGAGGACUAACCCUAUAACCAGAAUCUCUGAACGUAGGAGAGCGUGGCUUGAGUGUAUAGAUCUAUACGGGACUGACAAUUCCACACCUGGCUGCUAGCUACAGCCGAACCGAAAGGUUCAAGGGUGACAAAAGUCAUAAAAAGGAUACUGACCAUGGUCCGAGUCAUAUCCAGUCUGAGUAUGGUUAAGGACUCGCAAUCUAGAUUAAUAACGCUUUAGACUCAUUUAAUAGCUUUAUGUACGUAGUAAAGCUAAUGUAUAUUCAAGGAUGUCAGGCACAAACAAACCACAGUCAGGGAAACAUGGGGUUUUCCUGGGGAGAACACUGAACAUAACCAGAACCGGUAAAGAUACACACAAACCACAGUCAGGGAAACAGGGGGUUUUCCUAGGAAGAACAUCGAACAUAUUCAGAAUUGAUAAUAGUUCACACACACAGUCAGGAGAACAUGGGGUUCUUCCUGAGUAACAGUAGUACGUAACUAGAAAAGUGUAAUAAGUUAAACAACUGAACUACAAUUCACAAGAACAAGCAUGUUUUCAUUGUACGUCGUUUACUUUACUUUUGGAUUUGGAAACUAACUUUACAUAAGAAAAUAUGGGAUUUUCUUGGAUAACCACUUUUCAGGAAACCAAAGGAACUCGUACAUUUUUAGAAAAACUAACCGCUUAUGAACUCACCAGCUUUAUGCUGAUUUUCAAACCGCUUGUAUUCUCAGGUACGUGUUAGACAGGUACCCAAAGAUCCUUUUGUGUGAAGACGGAGUUCUUAGAAGACUCGUUUUGUACUGUUCAUAUAUACUAUGUAUCACAUGUAUAACUUUUUCUUAUGAAAUAAAUGUAAAACUUUCAUAUAUGUAAUGUAAUGGUUGAUUUACUUUACUUACUAUGUACAUUGGAUUUGAUACUCAACGUGGAGUCAACCCCAGAAAUGUUUCCGCCUUCGGUUUUCGGGGUGUGACAGAUUGGUAUCAGAGCCCUUGUUUAUAGUGAAUGAAGUAUACCAAACCUUACAUGGUAUAAAACUUUAAACAUUAAGGGGCCUAAGUGCUCUUAACUAAAAGUAUCCUUCAAAAUAUAAGUAUUUUCAAAAGUAUAUAAGUAUACCAACCCGUCGAGAUCCAUAACUACAAGUAGAACAAAACAUAAGUAAAUGAGUGUUGUACAUUGCGAUUAAACCUGGGCAGUUAUGUAGUCGUGUCUAGGAUCAAUAUAGCCUGGCCAACUAUAUUUAUUCGAGACACGGCCAACAUGUGCUUGGGAGUGACUGUGGUGUGUGGCAUGCCUAAAACUUACCCUUAAUACCACAAACAUCGAGCCAGCAUCGUAACGAAUCGUGAAAUACUAUGGGAGUAUUUCUCGAGUCAAUCCUUUGUAGAAAUCCUCGUUCAUGCAUUGUUCUUUGAUCAAUCUCUUAACGAUAAUUUUCUUGUCUUGAUAACUCUACCCUGCUUUAUCGCUUAUUCAGCAUAUAUCUGUCAUAUCUCUUGAUUCAAUUCAGAGGACUUAUCAUCCUCUCUUUCUUGAUCUUAUUAGAUCAAGAUGCCUCCAAGAAAGAGACCCAGCUCCAAGACCAACAACCCUCCGCCACCACCUCCUCCCCAAAUUGAUCCUGUAGUAUUCCAGGCAGCUGUUACAGCCGUAGUGACAGUUGCCAUGUCUCAACGGAACUCUGGCGGUUCUGGUAGUUCGGGAGGUGGUACCCAAACCCAAAACCAUGAAAGUAGUCAGGGACGCUGGAAAGAGGGUUCCUAUAAUGAUUUCAUGAACGCAAAACCCCCGUCCUUUGAUGGGACUGGAGGUGUCAUUUCCCUCAUCCGAUGGUUCGAGAAGAUCGAAUCCAUCUUUGAAAUUUGCACCUGUUUAGAUUCAGAUAAGGUAAAGUUUGCCGCCUGCACCUUUAUCGACAAAGCCUUGACUUGGUGGAAUGGCCGAGUCAAAUCCCUAACCUUACCUGUAGCCAACGCCAUGGGUUGGGAAGCCAUGAAGGAACUUCUGCUGGCUGAGUACUGCCAUCGGGGCGAAAUGUAGAAGUUAGAGCAUGAACUUUGGAACAUGACGAUGAAAGGUUCCGACAUCACUGCUUAUACUUCUAGGUUCGACGACUUGGCAUUACUCUGCCCGGGAAUGGUUACUCCGGAGAGUAAGAAGAUAGAGAGAUUCAUCUGUAGGCUGACCCAGCCAACUAAAGGAAACGUCAUAGCCGCGAGGCCGGAUACAUAUGACAGCGCCAAAUGCUUAGCACAGAUCCUAAUUGAUCAUAGCGAAGACCUUGAGGAGGCAACUACCACUCCUGAGCCGACAGUGAGGAGUGGGGAGAAAAGAAAAUUUGGGAAGAAAGAGAAAAGUCAAACAUCGCACGAGUCUUCAAAGAGACAACAAACGGUGGCAGUUCACGCUGCUACUUCCCCUACGACUGUUUCUAUUACUAGACCCUCAACUCGGAAACCUACCAGUAGGUAUACUGGAACUCUUCCUAGUUGUGACAAGUGCAACUAUCAUCAUCUUCCUUCCGGUCCAUGUAUCGAGAUAAUUUGCAACAAAUGUGGCAUAAAGGGUCACAUGGUGAAAAACUGUAAGACACCAACUCAAUCAACAAGUCAAACUUCCGGAGCGGGCAUUGGUCGGGCCUGCUAUGGUUGUGGAGAAGUGGGGCAUUUCAAGCGAAACUGUCCCAAGGCUGUAACACCUAGCAACACCGGAAGAGUUCUAGCGAUAGGACAAGAGGAGACAACCACCGAUCCCACUGUUGCCAUAGGUAUAUUUCCCCUCGUUAAAUUUAUAUGCAUGUGAUUCUUUUCGAUUCUAGCACCGAAAGAAAUUCGUUAAUCAUCCAUUUGAACAUUUUCUAACCCUUGUCGUUUGCGAGUAACCGAAAAUGUAUACCUUUGAGAUGGUUAUCACGUGAGAACGAGAAUGCUUGUGUCGUAUCCGUAGAUUGUAUUCUUAAUCCAAACAAUUAUUCUUUUCCAUUCGGCCUAUUGGCAAACUUUUUAUGAAAUGCUUUGAUGUCACCCUUAGCAUGUAAUGACCGAGCCUCAUUCAUGUUGUCUUUCCUAGUUUCGAGAAAGCCAUUCGUUCUAACCUUCCUCCGACUUGACUCUCAUGAUCUUAAUACAUCAAAGUUUAAAAAGUCUUCCCAUGUAUUUCUCGUCCGAGUGAUCAUCGAGAAACGAAAAGUCUACGAUCCUUCCCGAUGCUGUUUCUAAAGAAUUCUUAAGAAUUCUUUCCGAACGCGUAGUCCAGUCUCGCAUCGACCUAAUCCCGUGAAUUUCCUCGUAGCUAAACCUCAGUAUGCACGAUGUGUGCAAGUCAGCAAUCAGGGCAUGAUACGAUCAUUACGAGGUAGUAGUGGCGCCCUUCGGUCGAACCAUUUUCUUGGUCAUGUAGAUAAUCAAAGCAGUCAUACUCGUAAACCUUUCCAAAAGCUAAGGCAAUAAAAAAUUAGUCGACACCGGGAACACCCAUGGAAACCUGUCGAUUCUUGGGUUCCGUCGGCUAUGAUCGUAGACUUACCGGAACCUUAGUUACUCUGCCAUGUGAAAGUGUACCCACUUGUUGGAGGUCUUAUCCUGGAAAGACAUAGUAUGCCUUGGGAAGUGCGGAAAACUUAACUUGUGGAACCUUAGACCCUUCGAGAUUUUCGUUAGGAAUCGAUUCCAUAGCCCUCUCCGAGCUAUCUUCAGGACUCAGUAGCAACCAUCUGGUGUUCCGCAUCUUUAUUCGUAAGGCUUGCCGACCUGACGAAACCCUAGUAAAUUCCUUUGAGGAAAUGAAAACCAAUGAAAAUCCGAACCUUCGUGUUUGAAUCAAUUGAGAUCGUGGAUUGAGAGGUUAACCACACAUAACAAAGCCACAUCCUGACAGUGAGGGUUCGCUAGAAUGUUAAGCGGAGACCCGAAGCAGUAAAUUCAUCCCCAUAUCUCUUUUCAUUUCGUGAUAUGUGUUCGAAUCUUUGAAUUUCAGGACGAAAUUCCCUCUAACGGGGGGAUAAUGUAACAACCCAAAAUUCAUAUCCCUAAUUGAAACCCUUUUUACGACUCGUUCCGAUCAUCUAAUCGCCGUUUCCGAUUUCUUUUCCGUUUCCGAUUUCUUUUCCGUUUCCGACCUUUUAUUAAGUCGUUAAUGUGAAUUUUAUUUUAUGACUUAAUAAGUGUCUUAAUACCCUUAGAACUCAUUCUAACGUCUCAUAUUAAUGAUCAGAACAUUUCUAGAAUCAACCAUAUCGGGUUACGACAAAUUGGCCGGGUGCGACCAAAAGCCUCGUCUAACGCCGGUAUCGGAUAGAAUUCUACCGUGUCCAGAACAUGGACACUAUUUAAAGUGAUCCAAGUCUUCAUUUUGAAGCUUUUGCUCCAUUUUACAAUUAUCACUCCAACCUCUCUCCUCAAACUAGAUUUAAGGGUCAAAAUCUCAAGUUUAAGGCUUCAAAUCACCAAGGUACCUUCCCUAAUUCGUUAUGCAACCUCUCUAGCCUUCAAAUUCGAGUUUAAACCAUGGAUUAGGACCAUUACCAUGAGUUUACAGCCCUAGAACAGUCCUAGGCCGUAAACUCAUAUAAAGGGGGG
rnacentral:lncRNA from 1 species